rnacentral:piRNA from 1 species
UCAGCAGCAUAAAUGAUUUUU